CUUUUGUAGAAUGAGCCAGCGAGUUGCGGUAAGCGGCGAGGUUAAGGUUGGAACCGAGCCGCAGUGAAAGCGAGCCUUUAAGAUGGCGAACAUAGUCGCUUGCCGCAGACGCGAAGCCGGGUGAGCUAUCCAUGGGCAGGCUGAAGCGGGGGUAAGACCCCGUGGAGGGCCGAACCCACUUCGGUUGAAAACGGAGGGGAUGACCCGUGGAUAGGGGUGAAAUGCCAAUCGAACCCGGAGAUAGCUGGUUCUCCCCGAAAUAGCUUUAGGGCUAGCCUCAAGGUAAGAGUCUCGGAGGUAGAGCACUGAUUGGACUAGGGGCCCCUACCGGGUUACCGAAUUCAGUCAAACUCCGAAUGCCGAUGACUUAUCCUUGGGAGUCAGACUGCGAGUGAUAAGAUCCGUAGUCGAAAGGGAAACAGCCCAGACCGCCAGCUAAGGUCCCAAAGUAUACGUUAAGUGGAAAAGGAUGUGGAGUUGCUUAGACAACCAGGAUGUUGGCUUAGAAGCAGCCAUCAUUUAAAGAGUGCGUAAUAGCUCACUGGUCGAGUGACUCUGCGCCGAAAAUGUACCGGGGCUAAACGUAUCACCGAAGCUGCGGACUGUUCUUCGAACAGUGGUAGGAGAGCGUUCUAAGGGCUGUGAAGCAAGACCGGAAGGACUUGUGGAGCGCUUAGAAGUGAGAAUGCCGGUAUGAGUAGCGAAAGAGGGGUGAGAAUCCCCUCCACCGAAUGCCUAAGGUUUCCUGAGGAAGGCUCGUCCGCUCAGGGUUAGUCGGGACCUAAGCCGAGGCCGAAAGGCGUAGGCGAUGGAUAACAGGUUGAUAUUCCUGUACCACCUCCUCACCAUUUGAGCAAUGGGGGGACGCAGGAGGAUAGGGUAAGCGCGGUAUUGGAUAUCCGCGUCCAAGCAGUUAGGCUGGGAAAUAGGCAAAUCCGUUUCCCGUGAAGGCUGAGCUGUGAUGGCGAGCGAAUUAUAGUAGCGAAGUUCCUGAUUCCACACUGCCAAGAAAAGCCUCUAGCGAGGUGAGAGGUGCCCGUACCGAUAACCGACACAGGUAGGCGAGGAGAGAAUCCUAAGAUGAGCGAGAGAACUCUUGUUAAGGAACUCGGCAAAAUGACCCCGUAACUUCGGGAGAAGGGGUGCUCUGUUAGGGUGCAAGCCCGAGAGAGCCGCAGUGAAUAGGCCCAGGCGACUGUUUAUCAAAAACACAGGACUCUGCUAAGCCGCAAGGCGACGUAUAGGGUCUGACGCCUGCCCGGUGCUGGAAGGUUACGCGGAUGGGUUAGC
rnacentral:rRNA from 1 species